rnacentral:rRNA from 1 species
UAGGGAAUCUUCGGCAAUGGGGGCAACCCUGACCGAGCAACGCCGCGUGAGUGAAGAAGGUUUUCGGAUCGUAAAGCUCUGUUGUAAGUCAAGAACGAGUGUGAGAGUGGAAAGUUCACACUGUGACGGUAGCUUACCAGAAAGGGACGGCUAACUACGUGCCAGCAGCCGCGGUAAUACGUAGGUCCCGAGCGUUGUCCGGAUUUAUUGGGCGUAAAGCGAGCGCAGGCGGUUUGAUAAGUCUGAAGUUAAAGGCUGUGGCUCAACCAUAGUUCGCUUUGGAAACUGUCAAACUUGAGUGCAGAAGGGGAGAGUGGAAUUCCAUGUGUAGCGGUGAAAUGCGUAGAUAUAUGGAGGAACACCGGUGGCGAAAGCGGCUCUCUGGUCUGUAACUGACGCUGAGGCUCGAAAGCGUGGGGAGCGAACAGGAUUAGAUACCCUGGUAGUCCACGCCGUAAACGAUGAGUGCUAGGUGUUGGGUCCUUUCCGGGAUUCAGUGCCGCAGCUAACGCAUUAAGCACUCCGCCUGGGGAGUACGACCGCAAGGCU